UUGGAGGGCAAGUCUGGUGCCAGCAGCCGCGGUGGUUCCAGCUCCAAUAGCGUAUAUUAAAGUUGUUGCAGUUAAAAAGCUCGUAGUUGAAUUUCGGGGUUAGUAGGUUGGUCAUGCCACUGGUAUGUACUGGUCUCACUGAUUCCUCCUUCCUGAUGAGCCGUAAUGCCAUUAAUUUGGUGUUGCGAGGAAUCUGGACUGUUACUUUGAAAAAAUUAGAGUGUUUAAAGCAGGCUAACGCUUGAAUACAUUAGCAUGGAAUAAUGAAAUAGGACGUUCGAUCUUAUUUUGUUGGUUUCUAGGAUUGACGUAAUGAUUAAUAGGGAUAGUUGGGGGCAUUAGUAUUCAAUUGUCAGAGGUGAAAUUCUUGGAUUUAUUGAAGACUAACUACUGCGAAAGCACUUGCCAAGGAUGUUUUCAUUAAUCAAGAACGAAAGUUAGGGGAUCGAAGACGAUCAGAUACCGUCGUAGUCUUAACCAUAAACUAUGCCGACUAGGGAUCGGAUGAUGUUAAUUUUUUAAUGACUCAUUCGGCGCCUUACGGGAAACCAAAGUGUUUGGGUUC
rnacentral:rRNA from 1 species